GCCCACAGGUCAGCUGACUGCUGUGUCAUACGGCAUUCCUGCAGAUGCCAGCUCCUGCUCCUGCGGAUUGCCAGGCGAGACGCGGCAAAGCAGAGGCAGACAGCUAGGCACCAAAGCAGCCGAGUUUUAAACUUUGAUUUUCCUGUUGCUGCUUAGAGCCUCACACAUGAAGAGCAUUACCUUUGUGUAGCCAGGAGCCGAGAUGCAGUCUGAAUGGGCACGGUGGCUUCUGAUGUGGCAGCAUGAAUUCUCAGCUGGGCAGAACCUAAGAGAUAUCACUGUGGACGUGGUUUUUAAUGAUUUGGGUGGGGAGAGAAAGAAAAAGAAAAAUGACAGCCUGUGGAGACAGCGAUUUGAGAAAGCAGCACACUGAGAUCUCAGGUAACACAGCCAGCAGUCACUGCAUGAAGCUCUUCCAGAAGGGCUGUGUGCCUCCUUCCACGAUGUAUCCAGGCUCUUCGGCUGCGUGGCUGGGUUUGUGCCUGCUCGGUGGACAGAGUCUGUGCUAAAGAGAACUUUUUGUCUGGCAGACUGUACCAUUCAUCUCGGGGUGAUUGUGCCAUUCUGAGGAGGUGGCACGGACUAUCCAUCCUCCCUGGGGAACAGCGGAAGCGUUUAACAGACAUGGGGGCUUCUGGAAUUGUCCUUCUAAUAGCGUGGAGAUAGCACGUGACUCAUGCCAACCAGCAACACCUUUGCGUUUGACUAUUUCAGGCAGGGACUGGAGGCAGACUGGGUUUUGCACUUUUGCAGCCCCCAGUCCAGCACCUGAUGAACUGGAAGGACUAUGGUUGCCAUCACCACACUGAAGAGGAAGCUCGGGAGUCAGUGUUUUGAGCUAUCUAAUAAGACAAUCUCUCUUACCCACUACUGAAUAAUAUCCGGCAUGAAACAUUGAACUUGGAAGAUGAAAGGGGCCUCAGUGAAACUUUAGAUCCGUACUCCGCAUGUCCUGGACCCAGAGAAAAUGCAACAGACUCUUGCUAUCCAAAGCAUGUUCCUGGGAGAGCAAGUGAUGGGAAGCACAGCCUAGAGGAAGCCACAGGCAGGACAGAGAUGAUGGAGGCUUGGCGCUUGCAGAGGGUCCAUGAAGUUCGGAGAUAGGGAACUUGGGUCUGGUUCCUCACAAGGCUGGGAUGGCAGAACUUUGGUUGGGAGACUGAGGAUGCCUGGUGAAGACCCUGCACUCUUGUGGAUCAAGCAGGUGUGAGAUGAGUAGAGGGGAUGACGGUGACCAUAAGUGCAUAGACACCAAGUGGGUGCCAUCUUACCUAAAUCUGUAUAUGGACUGUUUUCCACAACUCUGAGUAGAGGAAGAAAACUCAUAAAGAGAAAGAGCAACAAAAGACUGGGCACCAAACCUACACCUACUCAUUCCCUUAGGAUAUGUUCGUGCAAACAAAAUGAACUUAAGAUUCCGAACAACUUAAGGCUUUCUGUGUGCAACAUUCUGUCUAUUUGUAUUUUUCACAUCUAUGCUACAUCUAUUUAUCUCUGACAAAAUGUUAUUAGAGAAAGGCAGGAGAGCUGAAUUAACCAAGCUAAUUGAUCAUUAAGUAUAAUCGUCCAUUAAGUACAAAUUUCCAUUUAUAAUCUAUUUCAUCCCGGAGGAUUUCAAUUAUUAGAUUGCUUUAUUGAUAUGCCGAGGAGGUAAUCAUUAAGUGUGUAAACAAACAAUAUAAAUUUCCACAUGAGAAAGAGAAGACUAUUGAUCAGUUAUGCAUAUUGUCAGGAAAUCAUCUAGAAGGGUGAAGACAGGCACGAGACUAAAGAGAGGUGAGUCUCAUCUCAAAACCCAUCUGCUACCUCUUGGCAUCUUCUCAAUGGUUUCAGGACAUGACCCAUGCUGUGCUCAAAGGUUCAGCCGUGUGUCCUCGGAAAAGUAACUUAACUCCGGUGAUUCUCUAAUUUCUCUUUCAUAAGCAACAGGUAAUGCAGAGACUCAUCCCAAAGGGUUUCUGGCAGAAAUAAAAGAAUUAAACUUGGAACCUUCUAGAAACAUUCUUGGUGCUCCAUGAGCCGGUGAACAUCUUCAGGAGCAUGGAGUGCCGUGUCCAGCCUCUGACCUCACUCUCCAGCACCCCCUCUCCCUGUCCUCUCAGCACAGGCAGGCUGUAGAUGACAUGAGGGUCCUGUCAACUCUCAGCUCCCAUGGUCUUAUUUUUCCUGCCUUCUCAGACUUCUUUUCUGUCUGGAAUGAGGACCCCUUGCCUUUCUUGCUGAAUGCUUCUCCUGGAGAAAGAAUAAGGAUUGCUAAUUCCCGCUUCUGUCUAUUUCUUGUCUUGUCAGACCAGCAUUGGUAAGAAGAUAAUGGCCUUCUUUGCAAAACCCUUCAAUCUGAGCUGGACACAGCUCAGGGCCCUGUGUGAUAAUUAGCAGAGUAUCUUAGUGGUCCAGCAUAAGAAAAAAUCCCCAAGGUCAGGCAGCAUGCACAUUUAUCAUAUUUGUUGGUCCCUGCCCACUGUGGCCAUCUUAGGUACCCAAUAAUGGUUUCUGUCUGUUCUGUCUGGUUUCUCAGCACUGGGGAUCACACCCAGGGAUGUUACAUGACAGAUAAGCACUCACCACUGAGCUACCAGCCCAGACUCAACCAUCAUCUCCUGAACAACUUCAUUUGCCAUCAUAAUGUGGAGUCAAGAGACAGGACACUGGUGUGGGAGAAUUGUCUGUAUUCUGUCAAUCAUAUUUUAAUAAAACGCUGAUUGGCCAGGCAGGCAGUAUAGGUGGGAAAG